rnacentral:rRNA from 1 species
AACGUAGGAGACGAACGUUAUCCGGAGUUACUGGGCGUAAAGGGCGUGCAGGCGGUCUGAUAAGUUCGGCGUGAAAUAUUCCGGCUUAACUGGAGAAGUGCCCUGGAUACUGGCGAGCUCGAGCGAGGCAGGGGUUGUGGGAACUCACGGUGGAGCGGUGAAAUGCGUUGAGAUCGUGAGGAACGCCCGCGGCGAAAGCGGGCUCCUGGGCCCCGCCUGACGCUGAGACGCGAAAGCCAGGGGAGCGAACGGG